UGUCCCCCCCGGCCCAGGUUCUGUGAUACACUCCGACUCGGGCUCUGGAGCAGUCAGUGCAUGACAGAACUUGGGCCCGGAAGGACC
ensembl:miRNA MIR152 microRNA 152